CUACUCUUGGUGACAGAGUAUUUCUGAAUUUGUGAGAAGAUUUGUUUUAUUUUUAAAAGUGGGAAAUGCCAAAUGGAACUGUUCUUCGGUUGAAUUCUAUCAGAAUUCCUUGCCUGGUGGAAUUUCAUUCUUGUAGACUGCACAGGUCAAAGUUCCUAGAGUUGAAUUCUGAGGAUAUCCUGGGAUGGAAGCAUCUUAGCCUGUGUUGGAUCUGUUUCUUCCUGAUACACAACACUUGGAAGAGGCUGACAUUCCAAUAAUGUGAAGCCGUGUAUGCAUGCUGCAACGUUGUUGUAAAUGCAAGAUACUGGAAACAUUUUAAGUGCACAUACGAGAGGUGGUGAAGCGAUUGUGUGCACCCACCCAAGGGAGUGCUGUGCAGCUGUGAAAAAGAGCAAGGGUGGUCUCUGUGGACGUCUGUGGGUGAGUCCUGGGAAACACUGCUAAGCCAGAAUGUUACUCUGUGUGGGAUAAAGGAAGAAGCAUAAGAAGAUGUACCUGUAUUUGGUCAUGGUACAAAGCAUGCUGAAAGGCUGAAGCAGAAGCUAAUGAGAGUCUAGGGGCAAGUGGAUUGGGGCUGAAGCAGAGGCAGAAUGGCGGGAGGCUUCUCCAGGGGCACUGUCUGUGCACAGAUCUGCCUCUUGGAGCCGUGUUAAGGUUUCCAGUACUGAAAAAAGAAGGGAGGGAGAGGGGGCGGGGACGGGGAGGAGAGGGAGAGGAAGGAGGAAAAGGAAAGGAUGCCAACAAGGAUAUGGAAAACAAUCUUAAGGUGGGAAGCAAGUAGGAAGAAAUGAAAUGUAUUUGAGAUGAAGCACACCUUCCCCUCACAGAAAGGAGGCGUGAGGGGCACUAAGCCCAGUGACAACAACGGUAUUUCACUAGGGACGGAAGAACCCUAGAGAGUCUGAAGUGUGGCUGGAGAGUAGGUUUCUGUAGUGUGGAUGGAUAGAAUAGCAAUUGUUGCAGUCAAGGUCUGCAAGGGAAAUAGAUUGAAUACAGGACACAUAAUUUAUAGGACUAUUUUAUAACAUUAACCCAAAAAGUCAAAUGCAGAGGAGUGCAAGAGGUCUAGCCGAACACUAGAGACGCAAAGAAUCUAGCCAAGGGCCUGGAUCCCACAGUAAUGUCCCACACAAGUCCAGCUGAAGGGCAAGCGUUCAAGGUAAUGUCCUGCAGAAGUCCAGCCAGAGCAGUCUAGAGCCCAUGACAAUGCCUCAUGCAAGUCAGUAUUGAGGAUUUGCACUAGGAAGGCCCAAAGGCCAGUGGCGGAAGCCAGAAAGUCUACACCAGUGCAGUGAAGGAUUGGUGCCACCACGCUGAGGGAUCUACAUUGGAGCCAGGAAGCGAUGUUCAUGGCAAAGAUCAGGGUACCCCUGAUGAGGACAGCAGCCAUUCCCAGUGACAUUGAGGACCCAAGCUCCUCCUAGGAUGAGAGAACAGCUAAGUUCACAUCGGGAAAACCACCCAGGCAAGCUUCUCUUGAAAAAUUAGCAGCCUACAAUCUUCUCCUCCAGUUCUCUUUUUAUAUCAUUGUUGGUGGGUCUUCCAUACCCAACCACACUGAUUCAGUUCAGCUGGGUGUUCCAAGUUGACCAUUAAUUAAUCUACCACAGCAAUUCUGAAAAUACUGUGUAUUAUGGGAUUGGGCAAAUCAAUGAAUAUGUUGUGUAAAAUGGCAGUCAGGCUUUUCAUCAAAGAGAAGCAAGAUAGAAAGAUGGAAAAGAGGAGGAGCUAAUGCUGGGUGCUGCAGUGUUGAACUGGAAUUGGAGGUACUCUUGGGUUUUAUCAUACAUGGGCAUAUCCCUGUACAGUGUAUAUGUACAGUGUGUAUAUAUGCACACAUACGCAUUUACACUUCUAUAAACACUAAAUAUUUAUAUUUAGGUAUAUAUGUACUUGUAUACACCUGUGUAUGUAUAACUAUGUGUGUAUAUGUGUAUUUCUAAAUCUAUUGAAAGGAAAACAUGGUAAGAUGUUUAUAUGUGGGGCAUCUGGGUAAAACAUUAAUGGGAAUUCUUUGUACAAUUCUUGCAAAAUUUUGUACAUCUGAAAUUAUAUCAUAGUAAAAAUGUGAAAAGAAAGAAGGCAAAGCAGUUGCCCAUGAGAGUUGAUGCGGAGAUGUGACCUGGGUCCCUCAAGGCCCCAUGUGACCCCAGUCUCCUCCUGGCCCAGUGUGGGUCGCCCCAGGAGCUCCCCAUUCAGGGCAGUGCUGGGCAGGUGUUUCGUAAGCUCUUCUCCUUCACCCACAGGUGGGGCCCUCAGUGGGGUGCAAGGAGCAGGAAGAGAAGGAAGGGAGCCCUCUGUGGAGCUGAGCCCUGCCCCUGGGGUAUCCCAGCUGCUGCUGGAGCCCAAGGAGAGAAACCUUGUUGGUCUCGGUGUGGAUGCAGGUGUGGUCCAGCCUUUGAGGGGUGUCCUCAGGCUGCUCUCCGGAUCUCUUGCAGCAUGUGCAGAGAGGCUUCUCAGGGUAAUAGAUCCUCCCUGUCUAGCCUCUGCUUUUUCUCAGAUGGGCAUCUCUUUCACAUGCAUCCUAUACUCAGAAACAUUGCUUCUCGGGAGUUUCAAAGAUGAUUCAAUUCAAUGGCAAAGGACAAAAGCACUGCACCACUCCCCCUUCUGCUGUUCCUCCCCUCUUUGUAUGUGAGUUGUGUUCAGCACUCCUGCUUUAGAAGCAUAAGCGAUUAAGAGUUGGCAGUGGUGUCAGGCAGAGCUGGGCUCAGAACUUCACCUGGCCUUGGACCUCAGUUCCCACCUGCACAAUGCCCCUGAUAAUAGCCUUGAGCCCACUGAGUGGCUUUGAGGAUUAGAGAAGCUAAGCAUGUAUGUGCUCAACACAGUGCUCAACAAGUGGGAGACAUCAGUAGCAGCAGCUCCAGAGACAAGGACAGAGAUGUGAUUCAGCAAAUCAUUGAGACCAUAUUGCUUUUUCUGAGGCCAAACUCAUCUCCCAGGGAAUUGCACUUAACCAGUGAGUGACUCUUUCAAUAAAAACAUGGGUUACUCUGCCCAGCACCUAGACAUUCCCAAGUCUCCCCUCGAAAACUGCCAUUUGGAGUCCUGGUACUGUAGUAAUGAGGAUGUGGGCCCAACUUCCGGGAGCAUUCCAAAUAAGAAACUUCCAGAACUUAAUUAUUUUAUGGUACAAAAGCUUCUUAUUCUUUUUGGAAAGUAAAAUUAUAUAUAAGUAUUUUCAAUGGACUUACUAUGCCAAAACUAUGCAUUAUCAACCUUGGAAAAAUACUCAUAGCUAUUUAUAUUGACUUGAAUCUCUCAUUUUUUUCUUGUGUUUGUUUGCUUGGGGUGGUGUGUGUGUGUGUGUGUGUGUGUGUGU
rnacentral:lncRNA from 1 species